GAUGAAGAACGUAGCGAAAUGCGAUAAGUAAUGUGAAUUGCAGAAUUCAGUGAAUCAUCGAAUCUUUGAACGCACCUUGCGCCCUUUGGCUAUUCCGAAGGGCAUGCCUGUUUGAGUAUCAUGAACACCUCAACUCUCAUGGUUUGCCAUGAUGAGCUUGGACUUUGGGGGUCUUGCCGGCCUAUGGGUCGGCUCCUCUCAAAUUAAUCAGCUUGCCAGUGUUUGGUGGCAUCACAGGUGUGAUAACUAUCUACGCUUGUGGUUUUCCAUCAGGUAACCUUCAGUGAUGGAGGUUCGCUGGGGCUCAUAAACGUCUCUCCUCAGUGAGGACAGCUUUUUUGAACGUUUGAUCUCAAAUCAGGUAGGACUACCCGCUGAACUUAAGCAUAUCAAUAAGCGGAGGA
rnacentral:misc_RNA from 1 species